CGCACAUUGCGCCCUUUGGUAAUCCGAAGGGCAUGCCUGUUCGAGCGUCAUUGCAACCCCUCAAGCACUGCUUGGUAUUGGUUAAUCGUCCCCGAGACGAGACCGAAAAUCCGUGGCGGUCCAGCGAGACUUCAAGCGAUCAAGAUUUUACAUCCCGCUUUGCAAGCACCUCGUCGAUCCGGCCAGUUAAAACACUUCUACGGUUGACCUCGGAUCAGGUAGGGAUACCCGCUGAACUUAA
rnacentral:misc_RNA from 1 species